UGACCUGGCUCACAGCUGCCUGCAGGUCAUUCCAGCUCAGGAAGCCUCUAUGUGUUCCUCCAAGCUGCCGCACCUUCACCAGGGCAUCAAAGUAACUAGCAGCAAAGAAGAGUGACAUGAGCAGCCACACCCGGGGACUCCCAAGGAUCUGCACCUGAACGCCAGUGGAGAUCUGGAACACCCCAGCCCACACCAUCUGAACUCCCAGUCACCCUGGUCUGUCUCCGCACCCAGCCUGUCCCUUCUGGAUGAACAUCUGUGGAGUCAUUUCCCACUCCGCUCCCUCUGCCCUGUCGGAUCUGCUUUCAGAAUACUUUCACGCUCUGCCACCUUCUUCCCGCUCCUGCUGUUUCCACCAGGGAUCUAGCAGCAUGCCUAAAGGCAUCCCUGCCACUCUGCCUGGGCCAGGGCCCUGUUGUGGAGUCUCAGCACAACACCCAGGAUGAUCGUGGUAAAGCAGGCCAGUUGCAGGGUUCGCCAGAUUGUCCCAAAAGGCACAGACAUCUCCAGCUUCCAGAGCGCGGUUGAUCAGAACCACGGCCGAGAGCAUCUCCACAGCCACAAAGAGCUCCUCCUGGCCCAGCUCCUGUAGAGGAAGAGGCGUGAGGGGAGCUGGGGACUGUUGAGCCAGCUCACCCCUUGUUCUCCAACAUCCUAUCUCUAUUCCCAGGGGCCGGGGGCUCCAUUCACUCCACACCACCAUUCAUGCUCAACCCCCCGGGGCCGCACCUGGGCCACAUUCAUCCAUUCACAAUACUUAUGCUCAACCGCUGGGCCGCACCCCGGGGCCACAUUCAUCCACCCACAGUACUCUUGCUCAACACCAAGGAUGCAUCCAUUCACUAACAUUUCUACUAUAUGCCUGGAGAUGUUGACUGUGAACAUGACCAUGAAGACUUCAUACAAAGUGUUGUCUUAAUUUUCAUAACAAACCAAACGAGGUUGCUCCCUUUGUCUGGGUCACUCUACCUGUAUUCAACAAGGAAAGCUGAAAGGACAACAAUGACUGCUAAGAUCGACUUCUUGGCUAGGUGCUUCUCUAGACACACAGUAACUCACAGAGUCCUUGGAGCAAUCCUGUGAGAUCAUUCCCAUUUAUGAAGAAACUGAGAAGCGGAGACAGUAAGAGAACUGCCAGCGUCACGUGUCAUACUGGAACCCUCAGGUCCACAGCCCUCAGCACUCUGGUGUCAACCCUUGUGUUCCUGCUGUCACUGUGCCCUCGCUGAAGACCAGUGCUGGGUGCAGGUCAUGUCCAGAGUAAAUGUUCUAUAGGGGGAUUCAC